GGGGGUAAUAAGACCUGCUAACUCUUUCUCCUGGGAAUAAUAACCAGCCCCCUCUAC
rnacentral:tRNA from 1 species